rfam:Canis lupus familiaris chromosome 4, whole genome shotgun sequence.
AUCCUUUUGUAGUUCAUAAGCAUGAUGACUGGGUGUUCACGCUGUUAUGUGACAUGUGCCUUCCCUCAAACCUUGUUACAAUCUUGGCAUAUUACCAUGAUU